GGGUUGUGAGGUUAAGCGACUAAGCGUACACGGUGGAUGCCCUGGCAGUCAGAGGCGAUGAAGGACGUGCUAAUCUGCGAUAAGCGUCGGUAAGGUGAUAUGAACCGUUAUAACCGGCGAUUUCCGAAUGGGGAAACCCAGUGUGAUUCGUCACACUAUCAUUAACUGAAUCCAUAGGUUAAUGAGGCGAACCGGGGGAACUGAAACAUCUAAGUACCCCGAGGAAAAGAAAUCAACCGAGAUUCCCCCAGUAGCGGCGAGCGAACGGGGAGCAGCCCAGAGCCUGAAUCAGUGUGUGUGUUAGUGGAAGCGUCUGGAAAGGCGCGCGAUACAGGGUGACAGCCCCGUACACAAAAAUGCACAUACUGUGAGCUCGAUGAGUAGGGCGGGACACGUGGUAUCCUGUCUGAAUAUGGGGGGACCAUCCUCCAAGGCUAAAUACUCCUGACUGACCGAUAGUGAACCAGUACCGUGAGGGAAAGGCGAAAAGAACCCCGGCGAGGGGAGUGAAAAAGAACCUGAAACCGUGUACGUACAAGCAGUGGGAGCACGCUUAGGCGUGUGACUGCGUACCUUUUGUAUAAUGGGUCAGCGACUUAUAUUCUGUAGCAAGGUUAACCGAAUAGGGGAGCCGAAGGGAAACCGAGUCUUAACUGGGCGUUAAGUUGCAGGGUAUAGACCCGAAACCCGGUGAUCUAGCCAUGGGCAGGUUGAAGGUUGGGUAACACUAACUGGAGGACCGAACCGACUAAUGUUGAAAAAUUAGCGGAUGACUUGUGGCUGGGGGUGAAAGGCCAAUCAAACCGGGAGAUAGCUGGUUCUCCCCGAAAGCUAUUUAGGUAGCGCCUCGUGAAUUCAUCUCCGGGGGUAGAGCACUGUUUCGGCAAGGGGGUCAUCCCGACUUACCAACCCGAUGCAAACUGCGAAUACCGGAGAAUGUUAUCACGGGAGACACACGGCGGGUGCUAACGUCCGUCGUGAAGAGGGAAACAACCCAGACCGCCAGCUAAGGUCCCAAAGUCAUGGUUAAGUGGGAAACGAUGUGGGAAGGCCCAGACAGCCAGGAUGUUGGCUUAGAAGCAGCCAUCAUUUAAAGAAAGCGUAAUAGCUCACUGGUCGAGUCGGCCUGCGCGGAAGAUGUAACGGGGCUAAACCAUGCACCGAAGCUGCGGCAGCGACGCUGAUGCGUUGUUGGGUAGGGGAGCGUUCUGUAAGCCUGUGAAGGUGUGCUGUGAGGCAUGCUGGAGGUAUCAGAAGUGCGAAUGCUGACAUAAGUAACGAUAAAGCGGGUGAAAAGCCCGCUCGCCGGAAGACCAAGGGUUCCUGUCCAACGUUAAUCGGGGCAGGGUGAGUCGACCCCUAAGGCGAGGCCGAAAGGCGUAGUCGAUGGGAAACAGGUUAAUAUUCCUGUACUUGGUGUUACUGCGAAGGGGGGACGGAGAAGGCUAUGUUGGCCGGGCGACGGUUGUCCCGGUUUAAGCGUGUAGGCUGGUUUUCCAGGCAAAUCCGGAAAAUCAAGGCUGAGGCGUGAUGACGAGGCACUACGGUGCUGAAGCAACAAAUGCCCUGCUUCCAGGAAAAGCCUCUAAGCAUCAGGUAACAUCAAAUCGUACCCCAAACCGACACAGGUGGUCAGGUAGAGAAUACCAAGGCGCUUGAGAGAACUCGGGUGAAGGAACUAGGCAAAAUGGUGCCGUAACUUCGGGAGAAGGCACGCUGAUAUGUAGGUGAAGCGACUUGCUCGUGGAGCUGAAAUCAGUCGAAGAUACCAGCUGGCUGCAACUGUUUAUUAAAAACACAGCACUGUGCAAACACGAAAGUGGACGUAUACGGUGUGACGCCUGCCCGGUGCCGGAAGGUUAAUUGAUGGGGUCAGCGCAAGCGAAGCUCUUGAUCGAAGCCCCGGUAAACGGCGGCCGUAACUAUAACGGUCCUAAGGUAGCGAAAUUCCUUGUCGGGUAAGUUCCGACCUGCACGAAUGGCGUAAUGAUGGCCAGGCUGUCUCCACCCGAGACUCAGUGAAAUUGAACUCGCUGUGAAGAUGCAGUGUACCCGCGGCAAGACGGAAAGACCCCGUGAACCUUUACUAUAGCUUGACACUGAACAUUGAGCCUUGAUGUGUAGGAUAGGUGGGAGGCUUUGAAGUGUGGACGCCAGUCUGCAUGGAGCCGGCCUUGAAAUACCACCCUUUAAUGUUUGAUGUUCUAACGUUGACCCGUGAUCCGGGUUGCGGACAGUGUCUGGUGGGUAGUUUGACUGGGGCGGUCUCCUCCUAAAGAGUAACGGAGGAGCACGAAGGUUGGCUAAUCCUGGUCGGACAUCAGGAGGUUAGUGCAAUGGCAUAAGCCAGCUUGACUGCGAGCGUGACGGCGCGAGCAGGUGCGAAAGCAGGUCAUAGUGAUCCGGUGGUUCUG
rnacentral:rRNA from 1 species